rnacentral:rRNA from 1 species
GACGAACCGUGCGAACGUUGUUCGGAAUCACUGGGCUUAAAGGGCGCGUAGGCGGGCUUGCAAGUCUGCGGUGAAAGCCUCCAGCUCAACUGGAGAAGUGCCGUGGAUACUGCGGGCCUCGAGGAGGGUAGGGGCAUCUGGAACGUUGGGUGGAGCGGUGAAAUGCGUUGAUAUCCAACGGAACUCCGGUGGCGAAGGCGAGGUGCUGGACCCUUUCUGACGCUGAGGCGCGAAAGCCAGGGGAGCGAACGGG